GAACGAACGCUGGCGGCGCGUCCUAAGCAUGCAAGUCGAGCGGUAAGAUUGGUGCUUGCACUAAUCCUAGAGCGGCGGACUGGUGAGUAACGCGUGGGUGACGUACCUCUGUGACGGGGACAGCUCCUAGAAAUAGGAGAUAAUACCGGAUACGCUGUGUGCUGUCAGAGGGCACACAGGAAAGGAUCUUUUGAUUCGCACAGAGAGCGGCCCGCGUACUAUUAGCUAGUUGGUGAGGUAACGGCCCACCAAGGCGACGAUAGUUACCCGGCCUAAGAGGGUGAUCGGGCACAUUGGGACUGAGAUACGGCCCAGACUCCUACGGGAGGCAGCAGCUAAGAAUAUUCCGCAAUGGACGAAAGUCUGACGGAGCGACGCCGCGUGGAUGAUGAAAGGCCGGAAGGUUGUAAAAUCCUUUUAUGACUGAGGAAUAAGGUGGAUGAGAGAAACGUCCGCUGGUGACUGUAGGUCAUGAAUAAGCAACGGCUAAUUACGUGCCAGCCGCGGC
rnacentral:rRNA from 1 species